rnacentral:rRNA from 1 species
ACGAGACUUCGGGUCUAGUGGCGGACUUGGUGAGUAACACGUGGGAACGUGCCUUUAGGUUCGGAAUAACUCAGGGAAACUUGUGCUAAUACCGAAUGUGCCCUUCGGGGGAAAGAUUUAUCGGCUUUANAGCGGCCCGCGUCUGAUUAGCUAGUUGGUGAGGUAAUGGCUCACCAAGGCUACGAUCAGUAGCUGGUCUGAGAGGAUGGCCAGCCACAUUGGGACUGAGACACGGCCCAAACUCGCUACGGGAGGCAGCAGUGGGGAAUCUUGCGCAAUGGGCGAAAGCCUGACGCAGCCAUGCCGCGUGAAUGAUGAAGGUCUUAGGAUUGUACAAUUCUUUCACCGGGGACGAUAAUGACGGUACCCGGAGAAGAAGCCCCGGCUAACUUCGUGCCAGCAGACGCGGUAAUACGAAGGGGGCUAGCGUUGCUCGG